CGGAAUGGAUAAGCGCUGAAAGCAUCUAAGCGCGAAGCCAACUUCAAGAUAACAUUUCCCACCGCAAGGGUAAGACCCCAGAAAGACUAUCUGGUUGAUAGGUCGAAGGUGUAAGUGCAGCAAUGUAUUUAGCUUAUCGAUACUAAUAGGUCGAGGACUUGACCAAUAUUUAUU
rnacentral:rRNA from 1 species